UGUCUCUUUAACAACUGCCACACACACACACAUACUAUAACAACUAACAAGCAAUCAUCUCUCUCUCGGUUCUUCAUUCAUCGUCACCUUCGUGGUGUGGUAAUCGAAGGUGUUAAUUUCUUAAUCAGUGUGCUUUUUAGCGAGGAAAUGGAGUAUCGAUUACGCAGGUGAACCGACUGGAUAUUGAUUGGACCGUGAACUGAAGAUGGUUGUGAAACCGGAUUACACUUGUCUUUUUUCUUUACAAGAGUUAUUUAUGAUCUCACUCGGUUCUUAAAGGUUUCCCACGAAUGAAAUGUAAUUGGAAGUUGCCUCGGUUUACAUGGCUGAUGAGUAGGUGCAAGUAAAUGACCAUGAAUGAUCAUUAGUAAAUAGGGCUGUGAGUUUUUGAUACAACAUGAAAACACGACUUAAAUAUUAUAUGAAAUUCGAGUGUUUAGAUUAAGCAUAAAUGAGUUCCAGUUAGUUUCAGAUGAAACUCACAAACCCAUUUACCAAAUGGGGCGGAUUCAUGUCAACCCGAUGGGUUCACGAAUUGACCUGGUUAACUCAUUUUCAUUCUUUUUUCUAUACGCAUUUUAAUUCAUAAAUUGAAUUGGAUGACCUUAUACCAUAAUUUGAAGCUUAAAAGAUAAAUAAUUUUAAAUACACUAAUAUUGAUGUUAUAAAAUUGUAAAUUUGAAGUAUUAAUAUGCGAAUAAAAUAAAAUAGUAAAAAAGAAAUUUGGGUUAAGCGUGUCGUGUUCAUAUCAACCGGUGAAUAUGUGUCUUGUGUUUGGGUUCGUAUAUCCAACAUGUUUAUCGGGUUCAUGACGUCAUCGGAUUUGUGUAAAUUUUUUCGGGUUCAUGAAGGGUUGUAUAAUUAAUGGAAGAAGUUAUAAAUUACAUAUUGUUUUACCAUUAUGCUCUUUAUUCUUUUCGUUUUUUUUUUCUUUUUUUUUCUGUAUAAUCAUCUAUCCUUUCUAUAUUACUUUCGAUUCAUAAUUUUGAACCGAAUAAUAAAAAUUUACAGCGAUCAUACUUAGUGUUUACUACUCAUAUAUUAGACUAUUAUUGUCUUAGUUAUAAUUGUAUUUAUAAAUAAAAUAAAGAUAUAAAAAUAUAAACAUGCAUAAAACGGUCAAAACUUAUAAAUGAUUAUUUUUUAACCUUUUAAAACUAAAAUUAUAUGUUUUUCUUAUGUAUAUAAAAUUUUUGUUUCCUUAAUUUAAACCUUUUAAAACUGAUUAUAUUGUAUUAAAAGCCUUUUCUAUAUGUUUUUCAUAUGUAUAUAAAUUUUUUGAUUCCUUAAACAUGUAUAUUCUAAAUGUAUAUAUAUAUUUCAAAAGUGCGUCUAACUUUUUUUUAGUUCGGUUCAGUUAACAUUUGGAUGUGGGAAACCUUUAACCAUAAUCAUUACCGAUUACUCAGUUAAUCUGAUAGCCUUAACCAUUACCGUCAUUAAUCUUGGUUAUCGGUUGAUUUGGUUCGGUUAUCAGUUAAUUUUCCUUGGAAUAGUGGAUUCCUCUUAAGCUAAAUAUUUUUGGUUGGAGAGCGAUUCAAGAUUUCAAGAUAGAUUGCCGACCAUGGUCCGUGAAUGCACUUUGUAUAAGAAAUAUUAUCCAAAGCCCUUUAUGGUUUUGUAUGUGUAGAAGCGAUUCGGAGUCAUCUGAACACAUUUUCUCUUCUUGUGCCACACUAGUUUAGUAUCAUGUUAGUGUGUGGUGCAAGGUUCCACAAAUAUACGUGUUCUCCAACGAUGAUGUUUUCAAGAUUCACAAGUUUAUGCCAGGUAGUGAGAAGCGAAGAAGAUUGUAAUAAGCUAUCGUCUUAGUGUCAUGUUGAAGCAUUUGUAGGACGAGAAAUAGGUGCAUCGUCUCAAAUGUUCCGGUCAAGAUUCAAGAUAUAGUGGGAGAUAUCAAGACCCUUAGUUUUCUUUGGAUUACUAAGCGGUCUAAAACGUUAGGAGUCGAUUGGGAUAAAUGGAAGAAAUUCAAUGUAGCCAUAUAAUGUCGUUUUUUUUUGUUGUAUGGCCUCACUAGCAGCUUGCUAGUUUUCUGUUAAACGAAAGUUGUCGUAAAAAAAACUUAGCAUAAGAGAUCAACAUCUCUUAUAUCAAAGCUAUAUCUUAAUAUUGAAUGUGAGAUAGAGUCAUCAAUUCUUUAUU
rnacentral:lncRNA from 1 species